AUUGAACGCUGGCGGCAUGCCUUACACAUGCAAGUCGAGCGGCAGCGCGGGGGCAACCCUGGCGGCGAGCGGCGCACGGGUGAGUAAUACAUCGGAACGUGUCCUUUCGUGGGGGAGUAACCAGUCGAAAGAUUGGCUAAUACCGCAUGAGAUCUCACGAUGAAAGCGGGGGAUCCGAGGGUAACUUCGGGCCUCGCGCGAUUGGAGCGGCCGAUGUCGGAUUAGCUAGUUGGCGGGGUAAAAGCCCACCAAGGCGACGAUCCGUAGCUGGUUUGAGAGAACGACCAGCCACACUGGGACUGAGACACGGCCCAGACUCCUACGGAGGCAGCAGUGGGGAAUUUUGGACAAUGGGCGCAAGCCUGAUCCAGCCAUGCCGCGUGCGGGAAGAAGGCC
rnacentral:rRNA from 1 species